rnacentral:lncRNA from 1 species
UGGUCAAUAGAGUAUAUAAGUAAUGAGGGAUAUCCUACAAGGUUAGUUGCUGGUCUAUAGUGCCUUAGAAUACAAGGAGAGGGCUGGUCCUAAGAGAUAUCCCAUAUGGGUUGUAACACAUGGUACCUUGGUACUAGUAUAUAAGAAAAGGGUUUGCAUGGGAAGAAUCAUCUCAUACCACAUUCUAUUUGUGAAGUGCAACCUUGCUGGUCCUAACUUGCUUGUGUGGAGUUUGCUUUCUAUGUUUCAAUAGGUUAUGGGCCCACACUCUCUUACCAAGUAAGUUGUUCUUGCAUUAUUUCUUUGUUGCUUACUCUGGUGGUUGGGAUCUUAUGGUAGAGUGUUGCUAGUGUGUUGUUGAAGUCAUUGCUCCUGGAUUUGUGAGUAUAUGAGUUUUGUGCAAGACCUUGAUAGUGUCUUUGCUGAAGUAACACUAGUGUUUGAAAGUUUUAUGAGAUAGUGAGUCAUUUUGAGUGGAGUGACGUGAGGGAGACUUAUGAGAGCCAUAGAAUUACUUUACAAUUCAUUC